AGGUGGGUCUGAUCUAAACAGAUGAGCCCUUAAAAGGAGAGAACUACUCCAGCUGGAAGCAGAAGGGGACUUCAGAGAGAGGUGGUGUAAGGAGGUCAGAUUCUAAGUGUGAUAAGGAUGUGGCAUGCCAUUGCCGGCUCUGAGAUGUAGAGGCUUGUGUGCUAGGACUGGAGAGAGACCUUAAGAGAAGAAGGGAGGCCACCAGUUGACAGCCAGCAAAGAAAUGGGCCUCAGUCCUACAGCCACAAGCAACUAAUUCUGCCAACAACCUGAAUGAGCUUGGAAGCAGAUUCUUUUCAAAGCCUUCCAGUAAGAGCCAAGCUGGCUGAUACCUUGAUUUUGGCCUCAUGAAGCCAAGAGCAGAGAAAACAGCUGAGCCAGCCUGGAUGUCUGAACUACAGACUGCUCUUCACCAAGAGUCCUGCAGUUUCCUGCCUUAACAGUGCUUGGACUGAACGGGCACUCAUCCCCCACCCUGCCUGGCGCUCAGAGCCAACCUUUCAUCGCCUCUUCACAGCUCCCUCAGACUACCCCAGCCUCCACCACCGCCACCACCUCUCCUCAGCCACGUGCUAUGAGGACCACGUCCCCCUCACAGGUAUGCCAGGACUACCACCUUGACUCAGAGGCCGCCAUCAACUGCCAGAUCAACCUGGAGCUCUAUGCUUCCUACAUCUUCCUGUCCAUGUCUUACUACUUUGAGAUGAUGUGGCUUUGAAGAACUCUGCCAAAUGCUUUCUUCACCAAUCUCAUAAGACGAGGAAACAUGCUGAGAAACGGAUAAAGCUGCAGAACCAACGAGGUGGCCAUUCCUUCAGGAUAUCAAGAAACCAGAUCACGAUGACUGGGAGAAUGGGCUGAAUGCAACAGAGUGUGUGUUACACUUGGGAAAAAGCAUGAAUCAGUCACUACUGGGACUGUACUCACAAACUGGCCACUGACGAAAAUAGCCCCCAUUUGUGUGCCUUCAUUGAGAGUCAUUACUUAAAUAAGCAGACAAAAUUCUUCAAAGAAUUGGAUGACCACUAUAACCAACUUUUCCAUUAUGGGGCCCCCAGAAUCUGGCAUGGCAGGGUAUCUCUUUGACAAGCACACCCUGGAAGACAAUGAUGGGAAGAACUGAGCCUUAGGAUGUUUCCCAUAGCCAUGAGAGGACUUCCCUGGUCACCAGGCAGCGCAUGAAUGUUAGGGUUACAUUUAUCUUUUCUGUAAGUUGUACCAAAACAUCUACUUAAAUUCUUUCAUUUGUACCAUUCCUUCAAAUAAAGUAACUUGGUGACUCCCCCCCCCCAAAAAAAAAUUAAAUUGCUAUUCUUUAUCGGUGACUGACCUGAGAAUUUCUUACUUUCCUGAGAGCUUAUUAGUGCUGAAAUUUUACUUUUAAUGUUAUAUUCAGGAUUUUUAAGAUGUUUCAUCAGAGAAGGUUGAUCCAGGAAGCUGACCUCCUGCAUUAUCAAUAAGAACAAUCCUGCUGCUGCUCAGAGCACAAUAUCUGUCAAUUAUAAUGUAGUGAAUGUACUUGCUUGUGUUUUUCUUCCCUUCUAGACUUGGAGCUUCUCAAAGACAAAGACUGUUGUUCAUCUCAGUGUCUUGCUUAUAAUGGGUGUCGGUGUCACAGUCCAAUGUACGCAUCAGGAUAGAUGUGGAGAGGGCUGAUGGCCACUCUGAGUUUAUCAUAACCAGUGUUUCAAUAUAUACAUAGCUUACAUCUGUUAAACAUACACAGGUGUUCUGGACAAUGUAAUUAGCGAAUGCCAAGAAUUCUUAGUGAUUUCUCAAGGAGCCCUCCCUUGGCCUCUGUUUUAAUAUUAUCAUGUUAUUGCUGUGCUCGUAUAUUUUAUCUUGGAGCAUGCAAGCCCUCGUAGGCAAUGGCCCCUCCUGCUCCUGAUCUCGCGUCUCCAUCUGUGCCCCCGGGCGACUGUUGCCUGGCUUAGGUUGCCUCCCCCUGGAGGUCUUACCCAUCAUUGGCUAACCGGCCUCCUCACCUCUGGGUCACAGUUUGUUGGCAAGCCUUUUGCAGUAAUUAUUAACCCUUCCUGCGUCAGGGGUGGCUACAAUGGGUACUCAAUGUAUAUUGAUAAACAAAUAUUAGAAAAUUCUAUAUCAAACCACAUUUUCUUGUUCUUUAUUGAUUACUUAUGAAGCACAUUUCUGGAUUUAUAAUUAGGAUAAGAUAAAGAGAUCUGAAUUUGAAAUUUGAUUAACUGAUGAUAGAAAGUUCAGGUACUUUUGAGUUUCUGUGUUCCUUUCUUUGUGGCAUGACCUAUAGGAGAAACUUAUUAUGAAAUUGAGUGUAUUACCUCAUUAAAAUCCAUAAGAAAUACAAACCAGUUGCCCACACAGCAUAGGAACGAAAACAAAACAAAAAACCCUGUUAUAUAACAUAGACUUUUCAUUGUCUCAUUUUUUGGUGGCCUGUUGCUAUGGAAAUCUCCCCAUACUAUCUGCAGACAUGAAUCACAUUCUGGGGAGCACCACACCUGCAGUGCUGCAGUGUACCAUAUGGCAAACUUACUGCAGCCAAAGGAGGCAAGGAGAAACUCUUUCCACAAGUAGAUUCAACAUCUUAAAGGUUGAGCCAUCUGUUAAAUAUGCUACGUUGCCUGUGUCUUGGCAAUAACCAAAAUUCAAAAAGCCAUUUGAUCUGAAAGACUGAAUAGACAGAUGCUGGGCUUGCACUUGAAGUGGGU
ensembl:lncRNA